rnacentral:lncRNA from 1 species
AGGACUAGAAAAGUUGCUUAAGAUUGAUAAGCCUUGAGGAUUUGAGAUCUUGGAAUGCAUCUCUAACUUGGCAAGAGACUUGAGGUUUACAUCCUCGAUGACCAUGUUUCAUUGUUGUGGGAUGAUGAAAGCGAUGAACAUUCUUAAGUCCGCUGACGUGUGCAACAGGUGGGUUAUCUACCGAGAUGUGGGAAUGCUACGUGGUUUCUUUAGAAACAAAGAAGAUCUUCCAAAAGUGACAGAGCACAGCUGUCAAGCUAUUGCAGCAGACGAAAGAAGAAUUAGAAAGAUAGCGACUUUCCCAUACGAUAAAAAAUCAACCCUUC